rnacentral:rRNA from 1 species
GAUGAACGCUGGCGGCGUGCCUAAUACAUGCAAGUCGAGCGAACGGACGAGAAGCUUGCUUCUCUGAUGUUAGCGGCGGACGGGUGAGUAACACGUGGAUAACCUACCUAUAAGACUGGGAUAACUUCGGGAAACCGGAGCUAAUACCGGAUGAUAUUUUGAACCGCAUGGUUCAAAAGUGAAAGACGGUCUUGCUGUCACUUAUAGAUGGAUCCGCGCUGCAUUAGCUAGUUGGUAAGGUAACGGCUUACCAAGGCAACGAUGCAUAGCCGACCUGAGAGGAUGAUCGGCCACACUGGAACUGAGACACGGUCCAGACUCCUACGGGAGGACGCAGUAGGGAAUCUUCCGCAAUGGGCGAAAGCCUGACGGAGCAACGCCGCGUGAGUGAUGAAGGUCUUCGGAUCGUAAAACUCUGUUAUUAGGGAAGAACAUAUGUGUAAGUAACUGUGCACAUCUUGACGGUACCUAAUCAGAAAGCCACGGCUAACUACGUG